GUUUGAUCCUGGCUCAGACGGAACGCUGGCCGCGUGCCUAACCCAUGCAAGUCGAACGGAAUCAGCGGGAUGGAGACUUCGGUUGAAAGAAGGCUGAGAUAGUGGCGGACGGGUGAGUAACGCGUGAACAACCUACCUUGUACAGGGGGAUAACACAUGGAAACGUGUGCUAAUACCGUAUAAGACCACAGUGCCGCAUGGCACAGGGGUCAAAGGAGCAAUCCGGUAUAAGAGGGGUUCGCGUCCCAUUAGCUAGUUGGUGGAGUAACGGUUCACCAAGGCAACGAUGGGUAUCCGAGCUGAGAGGCUGAACGGACACACUGGGACUGAGAUACGGCCCAGACUCCUACGGGAGGCAGCAGGGAGGAAUAUUGGUCAAUGGGGGAAACCCUGAACCAGCAACGCCGCGUGAAGGAAGAAGGCCCUCGGGUUGUAAACUUCUGUUUUCAGGGACGAAGAAAGUGACGGUACCUGAAGAGAAAGCUCCGGCAAACUACGUGCCAGCAGCCGCGGUAAUACGUAGGGAGCGAGCGUUGUCCGGAAUCACUGGGCGUAAAGGGCGCGUAGGCGGUUUUACAAGUUGCAUGUGAAAGACCAUGGCUUAACCAUGGGGUGUCAUGCAAAACUGUAGGGCUUGAGUGCAGUAGAGGAAAGCGGAAUUCCUGGUGUAGCGGUAAAAUGCGUAGAGAUCAGGAGGAACACCGGUGGCGAAGGCGGCUUUCUGGGCUGUAACUGACGCUGAGGCGCGAAAGCGUGGGGAGCGAACAGGAUUAGAUACCCUGGUAGUCCACGCCGUAAACGAUGAAUAUUAGGUGUAGGCCUUUAAGGUCUGUGCCGGAGCAAACGCAAUAAAUAUUCCGCCUGGGGAGUACGGCCGCAAGGUUGAAACUCAAAGGAAUUGACGGGACCCCGCACAAGCAGCGGAGCAUGUUGUUUAAUUCGAAGCAACGCGAAGAACCUUACCAGGGCUUGACAUCCUACAAAUCUGCCAGAGAUGGCGGAGUGCCCUUCGGGGAAUGUAGAGACAGGUGGUGCAUGGUUGUCGUCAGCUCGUGUCGUGAGAUGUUGGGUUAAGUCCCGCAACGAGCGCAACCCUUACAUUUAGUUGCCAGCACGCAAAGGUGGGAACUCUAAAUGGACAGCCGGGGUAACCCGGAGGAAGGUGGGGACGACGUCAAAUCAUCAUGCUCCUUAUGUCCUGGGCUACAAACGUGCUACAAUGGCCACAACAAAGGGAAGCAAGACCGCAAGGUGGAGCGAAACCGAGAAAAGUGGUCCCAGUUCGGAUUGAGGGCUGCAACCCGCCCUCAUGAAGUUGGAGUUGCUAGUAAUCGCGAGUCAGCAUAUCGCGGUGAAUACGUUCCCGGGGUUUGUACACACCGCCCGUCACACCAUGGGAGUUGAGAGCACCCGAAGCCGGUGAGGUAACCGCAAGGAGCCAGCCGUCUAAGGUGAGAUCAGCGACUGGGGUGAAGUCGUAACAAGGUAGCCG
rnacentral:rRNA from 1 species